rnacentral:rRNA from 1 species
GAUGAACGCUGGCGGCGUGCCUAAUACAUGCAAGUCGAGCGAACGGACGAGAAGCUUGCUUCUCUGAUGUUAGCGGCGGACGGGUGAGUAACACGUGGAUAACCUACCUAUAAGACUGGGAUAACUUCGGGAAACCGGAGCUAAUACCGGUUAAUAUUUUGAACCGCAUGGUUCAAAAGUGAAAGACGGUCUUGCUGUCACUUAUAGAUGGAUCCCGCGCUGCAUUAGCUAGUUGGUAGGGUAACGGCUUACCAAGGCAACGAUGCAUAGCCGACCUGAGAGGGUGAUCGGCCACACUGGAACUGAGACACGGUCCAGACUCCUACGGGAGGCAGCAGUAGGGAAUCUUCCGCAAUGGGCGAAAGCCUGACGGAGCAACGCCGCGUGAGUGAUGAAGGUCUUCGGAUCGUAAAACUCUGUUAUUAGGGAAGAACAUAUGUGUAAGUAACUGUGCACAUCUUGACGGUACCUAAUCAGAAAGCCACGGCUAACUACGUG